AUUGAACGCUGGCGGCAGGCCUAACACAUGCAAGUCGAACGAGUGGCGGACGGGUGAGUAAUGUCUGGGAAACUGCCCGAUGGAGGGGGAUAACUACUGGAAACGGUAGCUAAUACCGCAUACCAUCGGAUGUGCCCAGAUGGGAUUAGCUAGUGGGUGGGGUAAUGGCUCACCAAGGCGACGAUCCCUAGCUGGUCUGAGAGGAUGACCAGCCACACUGGAACUGAGACACGGUCCAGACUCCUACGGGAGGCAGCAGUGGGGAAUAUUGCACAAUGGGGGCAAGCCUGAUGCAGCCAUGCCGCGUGUAUGAAGAAGGCCUUCGGGUUGUAAAGUACUUUCAGUAGGGAGGCGUUACCCGCAGAAGAAGCACCGGCUAACUCCGUGCCAGCAGCCGCGGUAAUAC
rnacentral:rRNA from 1 species